ACGGGAGGCAGCAGUGGGGAAUAUUGCACAAUGGGGGAAACCCUGAUGCAGCGACGCCGCGUGAGUGAAGAAGUAUUUCGGUAUGUAAAGCUCUAUCAGCAGGGAAGAAAAAUGACGGUACCUGACUAAGAAGCACCGGCUAAAUACGUGCCAGCAGCCGCGGUCAUACGUAUGGUGCAAGCGUUAUCCGGAUUUACUGGGUGUAAAGGGAGCGCAGGCGGUACGGCAAGUCUGAUGUGAAAGCCCGGGGCUCAACCCCGGUUCUGCAUUGGAAACUGUCGAACUAGAGUGUCGGAGGGGUAAGCGGAAUUCCUAGUGUAGCGGUGAAAUGCGUAGAUAUUAGGAGGAACACCAGUGGCGAAGGCGGCUUACUGGACGAUAACUGACGCUGAGGCUCGAAAGCGUGGGGAGCAAACAGGAUUAGAUACCCUGGUA
rnacentral:rRNA from 1 species